rnacentral:rRNA from 1 species
UACGGGGGGGGCAAGCGUUGUUCGGAAUUACUGGGCGUAAAGGGCUCGUAGGCGGCCAACUAAGUCAGACGUGAAAUCCCUCGGCUUAACCGGGGAACUGCGUCUGAUACUGGAUGGCUUGAGUUCGGGAGAGGGAUGCGGGAUUCCAGGUGUAGCGGUGAAAUGCGUAGAUAUCUGGAGGAACACCGGUGGCGAAGGCGGCAUCCUGGACCGACACUGACACUGAGGAGCGAAAGCCAGGGGAGCAAACGGG